CAGCCGCCGCGGGAAUACGAAGGGGGCUAGCGUUGUUCGGAUUUACUGGGCGUAAAGGGCGCGUAGGCGGACUGAUAAGUCAGGGGUGAAAUCCCAAGGCUCAACCUUGGAACUGCCUUUGAUACUGUUUGUCUUGAGUUCGAGAGAGGUAAGUGGAACUGCGAGUGUAGAGGUGGAAUUCGUAGAUAUUCGCAAGAACACCAGUGGCGAAGGCGGCUUACUGGCUCGAAACUGACGCUGAGGCGCGAAAGCGUGGGGAGCAAACAGGAUUAGAUACCCCCGUAGUCCCUGUCUCUUAUAC
rnacentral:rRNA from 1 species